UAUUAUGAUUCAUUAACAGUAGCAAAAUUACAGUUAUAAAGUGGCAAAAAAAAUAAUUUUAUGGUCGGGGGUCACUACAACAUGAGGAACUGUAUUAAAGGGGCAUGGCAUUAGAAAGGUUGCGAACCACUGGAUUAGAGCAAAACAAAAGGAGACUU